CGCCGGCCAUCCUCAUCUCUUCUCCUGUGCACCUCUUGUAGGUUUGGAUAGACAUUUUUCUGAGGCAACUCAGUCGGGGGGAAUGCUGUGCGCAAGCCGGCUUUCCUUGCGUUUUUCCAAGCCUAUGUUUUUCAUAUACCCAGUAGUAUGUAACAGAAUGUAUUGUUGGGCGCUUGCGCCUAUAAAGUUUAUACAACUUUCAGCAACGGAUCUCUUGGCUCUCGCAUCGAUGAAGAACGCAGCGAAAUGCGAUAAGUAAUGUGAAUUGCAGAAUUCAGUGAAUCAUCGAAUCUUUGAACGCACCUUGCGCUCCUUGGUAUUCCGAGGAGCAUGCCUGUUUGAGUGUCAUUAAUUUCUCAACCUUUCAUUAGCUUUUGCUGAUGAAAUGGCUUGGAUGUGGGGGUUUGCUGGCUUCGGUCGGCUCCCCUUAAAUGCAUUAGCUGGUGUACCCCAUGGUGGACUUUUGGUGUGAUAAUUAUUUACGCCAUUUAUUGUGCGUAUCAGUAAUCGGACGAGCAUAUCAAUAAGCUGAUGAGCAUAUCAAUAAGCGGACGAGCAUAUC
rnacentral:rRNA from 1 species